rnacentral:rRNA from 1 species
CAGUAGCCGCGGUAAUACGAAGGGUGCAAGCGUUAAUCGGAAUUACUGGGCGUAAAGCGUGCGUAGGCGGUGAGUUGAGUCUGCUGUGAAAUCCCCGGGCUCAACCUGGGAAUGGCAGUGGAUACUGGCUCGCUAGAGUGUGUCAGAGGAUGGUGGAAUUCCCGGUGUAGCGGUGAAAUGCGUAGAGAUCGGGAGGAACAUCAGUGGCGAAGGCGGCCAUCUGGGACAACACUGACGCUGAGGCACGAAAGCGUGGGGAGCAAACAGGAUUAGAGACCCCUGUAGUCCCUGUCUCUUAUAC